rnacentral:rRNA from 1 species
CUACGCAGUGAUACCACCCUGAACGCGCCCGAUCUCGUCUGAUCUCGGAAGCUAAGCAGGGUCAGGCCUGGUUAGUACUUGGAUGGGAGCCCAGAGGAUUUUAAACAAUUUGUCCU